rnacentral:rRNA from 1 species
AGGGGGAGCAAAUCCCAAAAAUAACGUCCCAGUUCGGACUGUAGUCUGCAACCCGACUACACGAAGCUGGAAUCGCUAGUAAUCGCGAAUCAGAAUGUCGCGGUGAAUACGUUCCCGGGUCUUGUACACACCGCCCGUCACACCAUGGGAGUCGGGAAUGCCCGAAGUCAGUGACCCAACCUUUGGAGGGAGCUGCCGAAGGCAGGUCUGAUAACUGGGGUGAAGUCGUAACAAGGUACC